UUUCACCCUGCAAUUGUACAUCAGCGUAUCAGUUUCAGUUUUUCCUUUUCUUUCGGUUGUAAAGUCAGCAUACUAGUUCAUUGAGAUCUUAUUUGAAAAGUAAAGCUUUUGUAAACUGUAUUAUAAUAGAGUUUACAGGCUACAUCAGGUGAAUUUUUUUUUUUUUCAAGCUUGAACAACAUCAACUCAUGACAGAGAAUAGUACAGUGAUUGAGAAAGCUUUACAGCACAAGAAAAGGUCGAGCCAUGAGCAUAAAAUGAGCAAAAUCGAUCUCAUGGUUUCCGACUGUCCAAAUCCAAGGCUGGUAGGCGGCGCUUCUCUCAAUAAACCGGCUCCAGGUAUCCCAUCUCACAUUGUCAUGAAACGGGUAGUCAUCGGCAUAACUGAGGUCACCCACAAAAAGCAACGCCCCAGAGUUCGAAUUGGAGUCGUAGUGUGAGAGCGUAAUGUUUGAAUCAUAAGUUUGCCCAAGAUCACCUGCACGAAAGAACUUAGAUUGCAUUAUAGUACACAAAAACCGACUAGACUUGGUGCCAAAAUAACUACGGCAAGGAAUGUACAUCCAUAAGGUGCUCUGAAAACUUUAUAGGUGUUAAGAUCUCGUUUGGUGUCGACAUUAAUAGUGCAGGAAUUGAUGUACUCUAAUUUACCAUGAAUAUGCAGAUUCGGCUUACCUGUUUUGUGAAUAACAAUUUCUAUUACACUGACAUCGGUUCUCGAAA